GGGGGCGUGGUGUAGCCUGGUCCAUCAUCGCGGGCUCCAGAGGUAUGAGGACUUGCGGGUUUGCUGAUUUGGGGAUGAGCCUUUGGAGCUCUGACCCGGAGAAACCCGCGGACCGGGGUUCAAAUCCCCGCGCCCCCA
rfam:Thermococcus onnurineus NA1, complete genome.